GCAAGUCGAACGGGCUCUUCGGAGCUAGUGGCGGACGGGUGAGUAACGCGUGAGAAUCUGCCUUCAGGUCUGGGACAACAGAAGGAAACUUCUGCUAAUCCCGGAUGAGCCCUUGGGUAAAAGAUAAAUUGCCUGGAGAUGAGCUCGCGUCUGAUUAGCUAGUUGGUAUGAUAAAAGCAUACCAAGGCGACGAUCAGUAGCUGGUCUGAGAGGAUGAGCAGCCACACUGGGACUGAGACACGGCCCAGACUCCUACGGGAGGCAGCAGUGGGGAAUUUUCCGCAAUGGGCGAAAGCCUGACGGAGCAAGACCGCGUGGGGGAGGAAAGCUCUAGGGUUGUAAACCCCUUUUCUUUGGGAAGAAGUACUGACGGUACCAAAGGAAUCAGCCUCGGCUAACUCCGUGCCAGCAGCCGCGGUAAUACGGAGGAGGCAAGCGUUAUCCGGAAUGAUUGGGCGUAAAGCGUCCGCAGGUGGCCAUGUAAGUCUGCUGUCAAAACCCAGGGCUUAACUCUGGUCAGGCAGUGGAAACUACAAAGCUAGAGUUCGGUAGGGGCAAAGGGAAUUCCCGGUGUAGCGGUGAAAUGCGUAAAUAUCGGGAAAAACAUCGGUGGCGAAAGCGCUUUGCUAGA
rnacentral:rRNA from 1 species